rnacentral:rRNA from 1 species
UACGUAGGGUCCGAGCGUUGUCCGGAAUUACUGGGCGUAAAGAGCUCGUAGGUGGUUUGUCGCGUUGUUCGUGAAAAACUCACAGCUCAACUGUGGGCGUGCGGGCGAUACGGGCAGACUUGAGUACUGCAGGGGGAGACUGGAAUUCCUGGUGUAGCGGUGGAAUGCGCAGAUAUCGGAGGAACGACCUACUGGCGAAGGGCAGGCUCGCUGGGGACGUUACUGACGCUGAGACGACGAAGCGUGGGGGAGCAAACAGG